CAUCCAAGUCGCAAUCUGUAGAAGUAAACCAUUAUAGGUCAAAGUACGGUUUUCAACACCUUGACUCACUGACAGCAAACUUUUUUAAGGGCCCCCAAAAAGUCCAGUGUAAAACCAUUCAAACAUGCAUGUAAUCCAGUGAAGACAACUUAUAAAUAGGUGUCAUUAAUUAUGUUGAAUGUCAAUGUGUGCAAAUAUUUUUUAAAGCUACAAGCUAAACAUGGUUUGCUUUUUUUCAGUGCCUUGACUUUGUACUUUUUAGUUGAAACCCCCAC
rnacentral:lncRNA from 1 species